rnacentral:rRNA from 1 species
GACGAACGCUGGCGGCGUGCUUAACACAUGCAAGUCGAACGGAAAGGCCCUGCUUUUGUGGGGUGCUCGAGUGGCGAACGGGUGAGUAACACGUGAGUAACCUGCCCUUGACUUUGGGAUAACUUCAGGAAACUGGGGCUAAUACCGGAUAGGAGCUCCUACUGCAUGGUGGGGGUUGGAAAGUUGCGGCGGUUGGGGAUGGACUCGCGGCUUAUCAGCUUGUUGGUGGGGGAGUGGCUUACCAAGGCUUUGACGGGUAGCCGGACUGAGAGGGUGACCGGGCACAUUGGGCUUGAGGUACGGCCCAGACUCCUACGGGAGGCAGAGGUGGGGAAUUUUGCACGAUGGGCGGAAGCCUGAUGGAGCAACGCCGCGUGCUGGAUGACGGCCUUCGGGUUGGAAACCGCGUUCGCCUGUGACGAACCGUGAGUGACGGUAAUGGGUAAGGAAGCACCGGCUAACUACGUG